rnacentral:rRNA from 1 species
GAUGAACGCUGGCGGCGUGCCUAAUACAUGCAAGUCGAGCGAACGGACGAGAAGCUUGCUUCUCUGAUGUUAGCGGCGGACGGGUGAGUAACACGUGGAUAACCUACCUAUAAGACUGGGAUAACUUCGGGAAACCGGAGCUAAUACCGGAUAAUAUUUUGAACCGCAUGGUUCAAAAGUGAAAGACGGUCUUGCUGUCACUUAUAGAUAGAUCCGCGCUGCAUUAGCUAGUUGGUAAGGUAACGGCUUACCAAGGCAACGAUGCAUAGCCGACCUGAGAGGGUGAUCGGCCACACUGGAACUGAGACACGGUCCAGACUCCUACGGGAGGCAGCAGUAGGGAAUCUUCCGCAAUGGGCGAAAGCCUGACGGAGCAACGCCGCGUGAGUGAUGAAGGUCUUCGGAUCGUAAAACUCUGUUAUUAGGGAAGAACAUAUGUGUAAGUAACUGUGCACAUCUUGACGGUACCUAAUCAGAAAGCCACGGCUAACUACGUG